CGAAUUCAAAAAGAACACGCUGCCUCAUCUCAUGACUUAUGAGAACAGAAAUAAAGACAGCCUGGUGUUAGCAAAUGAGUAAACAGAACAAUACAGUCGAAAAAAAAAAGACUCCAGAAAUGAUAUCAAGCACUCAUGGUCAACAGAUAUUUAACAGAGAUGUACAGUUUUUAGACAGCGAGAAUGUGGCACCGCUCCAGUAUCUGCUACUGAAACAACCUGGUAUCUGUCUGCUAACAACAAGACUCAAGAUGAACUGUAGACCGGAGCACGAAGCUCAAUAUUGUAAAGUCAUUGGAUUCUUUACAAAGUGGGGAGAACGUUUGUGAACACGUCUUGGGCAAAAAAAUCACUAAAUAACAGGAAGUUGAUGAAUUAGAUGCUGAUGUAAAUGAAGUUGUUUGUCCAGGAAGUCUACAAUAUGGUGAUGUGCCCCCAUCCGACCCACAUACUCAAUGCUGGAAUGAAAGCCUGCAUUUAAGGUUUAAGAAGAAAAAAAAAAGAAACAUUUAUGUGCAUAUUUGUAGCAGCAUUAAAGAUCACUGUAAAAAAAAAUGGAACAUUUGCAAUCACUCAAAUGUCCCCAAGCUGAUGACAAGGCAAACGCACCCUCUCUACACAAGAGACAAGUUGGACCACAAGUCUGCACUUGCCUAGUUCUUAUACCACUUUACCAGGGCAAAUGUCCCCAAGGCUUCUGACUCAAAAUGUUCCUAUACUAAUCAGUAGGCUUAAGCAAGAUUACAGGCAGUGAGCCACAUAAAAUAGUUUCCUUCUGAUUAACUUUAAAAAAAAGACACCUAACCGUUACCGGAACACCCCAAUUGCCACAACCCUCUUCCUCCUCUCACUUCUCCACAAGUUUCCUGCCAGCUUUUCACAACUUCUUUGUAUAACAUUUGACUAUGGGGUGCUUGCAUGCUUCUGAAUUCAGAGUGCUGUUUCUGUAUCAGUGGUGCUGUGGAUACAGUCUCUUAGAAUCUCACCAGCAGUGGAUCUGACAUGCUAUUGAUAGGCACAGCAUUGACUGAAGAGCAGAAUGGAAUGCUGAGACAAUGUGAAAGAAGACAAGUGUGAAGUCUCUGCUUCAGGGAUCCAUUUUAUGGCAUUCUGGAAAAUUAACGAUUCAUUAAAUACGUACGGUUUUCUUCCACGCGAUCCGGGGAGGUGGACUCCGCAGUUGACAUUUUUAUGAAGGCUAUAUACCACCUAUUGUCUUGAUGAAGCAAAGAGACUCGGAUGAAUGAGAUGGACAUCUGAAAACAGACCAAGAAAGCAUGUGGGCGUGGUUAAGUAAGCUCUGCCCAGCUGGUCUGUGGUUUGUCUGUUGCCUGGUGAAUCAUCCUGAGUAUUCACCCCUUUGACAUUAAAAAAAAAAAAAGCAUAAAAUCUGAUUCUUGUAGGAAUUACAAAUUUGGAGAGGGACUCUGCAGGAAAUGUGUACAGUAAAUGAAAUGUGUACUGCAAAGGAAAUAAAGGGAACUUAGAUUUUUAGAUGUUUUAGAUUUUGAUAGCACAAAAUGCUGUUAAGUUAGAGCAACUUCACACACUUUUCUCUGCUGCCAAGGUAGGACGACAGGGGGUGUUUCACUGUCCUGGGCAAAUCAAACUAAAAGCAAAACAAACUGCAGAAGGGUGAGAUGUAAUUGCCAGUCUCUUUUCAAGCCUUGUGAAAAGGGAAGUUUCUGGAAAGCAGCAGCACCUUCCACAGACCCUUCUACAAGGCUGUUUGCACUUGAGUGACCAGAGAGGAUGUGCAACCCUAUGAGUUCAGAGCCACCUUUUGCCCUCUUUUAAAAAAUGUAUAUUGGGGAGGGGAGAGGAGGGAAGAGAAGCAGAGAAAAAUAUAUAGCUCAAUAAACUCAAUUUUAAAAAAAGAAUAAAAAACAUUUACUCCAUCAUAUGGGAAAAUCUAAAAAACUAAAUGUAUAUUAUCUUAUGCAUAUUUGUGUUUUUCUGAACAUAUGUAUGUACACCUGUGAAUGCCUGGUACUCCUGGAGGCCAAAGAGAGCAUCAGGUCUCUGAAAAUGAGCCCUCCUUCAAUAGAGCCCUCUCAAUAUUAACUUAUUGCUCUUCUCUGUCUCUCACCUUUAUGACCAUCAGGGUACUCAAAAGACUAGCUUUCCUCGCAAUAUAUUAACAGACAGCUCCCACAAAACCAAAGGCUAAGAGCAUCAUAGGGUUCCAUCUGACCCCUUUAGCAAACGACCCCCCCCCAACUUUGCUUUAACUGCCACUCUGGUAUUUCUACCAAUGUGCUUGAAAAGUGUCUUCACGUGUGACUUCCACUGUUGUGUGACUGUAAAGACUCCAUUGCCACCUCAGAAAAUGGAAUUUGGGGAAAUCUAAAUCUGUGUUCACUCAUUUUGUCUCCAGAGUAAACUCAUACCUCCUCUGAGGUGAGAGUUGUGUUUCCACACACAAUGGAAGUGACUUUCUGGGAAUCAGCAGGCUGAGACAGCUGUAUUGGACUAGGCAUGAAGGUUGAGCACAUUUAGAGUGGCUGGUGUGUGUGUGUGUGCGUGUGUGUGUGGCUACCAGAAAGUUACAACUGUGUUUAUGGAUUGAUCCGGAACAGAUGAGUUAUUUUCAUUGCCAGGCAUACUGUUUCUGCAGAUGGAACUGAACAGUCACUCUAGGGCUAAAGAAUUCUUUAUGACUUGGGACACACAGCCCAUUGCAUCCUGACUCAAUUCCUCAAAAUAUCCCAACUCUAGAAGGGAAAAAAAGAAAAUGGAAGAAAGGAGUUGACAUUUGAGAGACUGCUGGUGGAUCCCAAAGGUGGAAUGGGCAUUUUGAGAGGCUUCCAGGAUAGAUAAAAGCUGCUAGUCUGGGGGUAUGGAGAGUCCAGUGUUGCUCUGGGCAGGAAAAUCAAGGAGUCUUUGUUGGAGGAAGUUAAUGAGAAGUUAAAAAGUCAAGGACCACACAAGAAAGUUAGCACAAUUAUUACAAUUAGGCCUGCCAAGGGGACUACUGACAGUCCCCAAGCAGAGAGAGGGCCUUCCAGAAAGUAUUAUCUACUCUAUCUCUUGUGUUUCUUUCUAGUAAUUGUCUAGCAUUUCUCCUUACUAGGUCAGGUUCACUCACAUCAAAACAGCAUUCCUUGCCUAGGAAGAACAGAUGCACACUCUUUCUGCAGUUCUUAAGUCCAACCCCUGUGGUUUUGGAGGACCACCACAGCCAGGGAAUCUCUGAGUUUGUAGCAUGGCUGUGCUUUGUUGUACCAGGGUCAUUACUUCCUUUAUAUAGUUGCUCAGUUGGCUGUGCUGUACCUCUUGGAGUCCUGUGGCUGCGCCAAUGGUAGUAGCCCCUCUAGGGCCUUCUCCAGCAGUAUGGAAGUAGAAUGAGGCUUCUGUUUUUCCUAAAAUGAUGAACAAGAUAUUAAUAGGUUUCCCAAGCCGGGAGAACACCGGAGUCUGGAGCGAGGAAGACUGUAACACGUUUCCCUCUAGGGUACCUAGUGUAAGAGCAGUCCUGGCAUUCAAAGUACGUCCCAUUUGAUGCCCUUGCCUUGAGAGCCAAGUGGACAUAAUUUGUUUCUGGUCCUAUGCCAUCGGCCUCUCUGAUUAUCUGAACCAGGGGUCUGGCUAAGUGGUAAUUUGUUGACUAGUCGGUUUGUGUUAAGGUAGAUAUGCCUACUCUGUAUAUUUCAUUCGACUCCACUAGCCUUUCUAGAAAUCAACAGUUAAUGGAAGAGACGAGGAGACAACUUCAGAUAGAAGAGCGAAGCUUGAUUAGAACAGGGAAUGCAGGUAAAUUAGGAGAGCAGCUUGUGGGUGGUGGUUGUGGGGGAGGAGUGCAUAGGCUUACUAAGGGCAGAUUAAAGGAGUCAAAAAAGGAAGCAAAAAAGAAGCAAGUCUGACCUUCACUGAGGAAUGUGUUUAUAUUGGUGGAAAUGUGGGGAAGAAGUCAUAUCAUAUGGAAGGCCAACACAGUCCUGCUCUUCUGACUUCCUCCCAGGGUUCAGUUAGGUUACCUCAGCAUAGGGAAAGGGGUCUUUGGUUAGCUCUGAUCUCAGGGGGAAAACUCUUUAUUGUUUUGCUUUAAUUCUAAUAUUUUUGAUCUAAUUGUCUAUAAUUUCUUAGCUCUAAUUCUGUCUAAAUUUUAAGUCCAAUUCAAAUUCUCUGUUACAAAUCUCUGUUCCAAUUCAUUCUUGUUCUAAAUACUCUACCUUUUUCUUCUCUUUUUUUCCAUCUUCAUCUUCAUUUUCCUUAAUUCUUUGCACUUCCAAUCUUAUUUCUUCCCUAUCUUAUUUCUUAUACUGUUAAAAAAAAUCCCAAUCAUAUAUCUAUAUAUAAUAAAACCAUUCAGUAGCAACUUGGUAGAAAAGAAAAACAAAACUACAAGGAAAAUUAGCAGGGACACAGGCAUUUUUAGAAAAUAUACAGCAAAUCUUAUCAGCUAGUUUGUAGCUAAUCACAGCUUCUGUUGUGGGUAUGUUUCCACCGUCUCUUAAAGGGCUCCCUACAGGUUCCAGAAGGAGAAAACUAAACCAUGGAAA